rnacentral:lncRNA from 1 species
CCACGUCUAGUUGCCCGUUACUGCCGACUCAACAUGUGAAAUAACUGGGCUCAAAGUGAGCCCAGCUUGGCAGCCUUAUUAAGGAAGCGGAAGGCAACUGCAAUUGGGCCAAAAAUGACAGCCUAAAACACGAUUCGUCGAAUACACCUGAAGCCAAUUGCAUCAUUUAAGAACAUUUGGAAUUGAAUAAACACUGAUAAUAUUUAAUUCAAAUCCAAAGCAGAUUUUAAGUGGAUUCUAAGACAAUCCCUAGCUGUAAUAACACCCCUUUUUGCACAAAUUAUUCACCAAUUACAAACCUUAAAGGCCUCCACAGCUUGCACUAAAAUCUGAUGCAGCUAGAGCAUAUUUAAAACAAGUAGACUUCGAAACUUUCCCAAGAAAACUGAAUGUAAGAGCUGAUCCCAAUAUAAACAUUUCAAGUCCAAAAUAAAGCUCAAAUCCCUAUUAGAGAAUCAUAUUAAAAUUCAGUAUUUUUCAUGAGCAAAGGCAGUCAUAAAUGAUAGCUUUGAAAGCCAUGUAUACUCAAACACAGACUGAUAAAUCUCAGCAUUACCCAAUAACUAAUACACUAGGAGACCUUGAAUACUACUGAGAAUGCAUGCUUGACUUCAAAAUAAUAAACAUUCAUGCAUGGAUUCUAAUUUGAGAUAGAUUUCAAGUACAACAUGGAACUUCAAACCAACUAACUCCUUCUCAAUACCAAACAGUAACAAAAUCUAGAGAAACAAUCAGCACUUAAACUUUUUGAAGAGCACACAUUCAUUUAGAGCAUACUAAUGCUAUGGAACAGCUAAAAUAACAUGUAUGACUAAGAAACCAUUACAUAACACUAGAGAAAUAAAACAUAGCAAAUGGAAUGGAAUUCAAUUGCAACUCAGAUUCAGAAAGGUUCCAACUCGAAGCACAUCAUUUGAUGACUAUGAUUAGGAAAAAUACAUGUAUGUAAGAGAAAAGCAAAAAGGAAUGUGGAUUCAAUAAGCAGGCAGCAACAGAACAGAGCCCAGCAAUAUCAAUGAAACAGUAAAAACCCCUCAACAGCUCAAAACCCCAAAAUCAAACCAUCUUCAAACGAGUGCAGAAUUUAAGACUUUCAGAGAUUCUAGCUAGUGAAAAGGAUCAGAAAAUCAACACUAAACAUGACUUUUGAGUAGUCUUUCAUAAAGAAAAUGCAGGGAAAUCAAUGUACUUUCCAAGUUUUCAACAGUUUUAAUUUUUGCAAAAUUUUUCUCUAAUUUUUCUUGCUUGUUCAAGAAGGAAGGGUGCCUUCAUAGGAAAACUUUUAGGGCUGCAGAAAUGCAAUUAGUUUUGCACCCCAAGCCUUUUUACAAUUUCAUUUUUGCUUAGGGGACCUUAGUUUAAAAAACUAACAACCACAUUAGUCCCAGCAUCCAGCUUCCUAGAAGUUUCCUCAGGCUGUUACUAAAGAUUCCCUCUACAAAAAUACCCUAAGUACCCCUUUGAGCCUUGUUAAUUACCAUAAAAUUCAUGGAUCAAGCUAACCCAAUGAUUAAAACAAAUUUGGGACAACUUGAAUCAUUUCUAAUUUGGGCUUUUUGAUUUCAAAAACCAAAUUAACGUUGAAAGCCUAAGACUCUUGAGUAUUCAAUUUGCAGCGUCUUAAAGAUUUGAACAAUUCGGGUCCAAAAUAAAAGAAAAAUCUAAUACGUCUAGGCCAGAACACAAAUAAUUAUUAAAUACAAACUAAAAUUAACAUGCAUACGGUGUGAAGAAAUAAAAAACAAAAAUGGAAAAUAAAAAAAAAGGUAAAGGCAUACGAUUAAAGAACAAAGAUAGAAAUUAAAGGUCAAAUGGUAAAACAAAAGAAAUACCUAAGAAUUUCUGACCAAAUCUUGAAAUCGAACCCAUGCCUUCAAUUUUGGCCGAAAUGAGCCUUAAUCGUGUGUUUUCAAACAAAAACACACGAGUAAGGUUAACUUCGACCCCAAAUCUUCAACAAAACUCGCAAAUUCGAGUGUUGGAAAUUUAGGGUUCAUGCUCUAAUUAAAAUUCGAAGGGUUCAAGGAAUAUUCGGGGGAAAAGAGUUGUGGAUUUGGUACGAGGGGGUCGUGGGCAUUUCAGGGUGUUAAUUUGGGUAGUUUAGAGGUGGCGCCGCCAGGCAGAUGCGGUAGAAAAGGGAGCGGCAGAUUAGGGUUUGGGCAGGUUAUCUCUGAGGAUGGGAUUGAGAGAGACGAUGAGCGAG